rnacentral:rRNA from 1 species
GAUGAACGCUAGCGGCAGGCUUAACACAUGCAAGUCGAGGGGUAUUGGUUUUCGGACCAAGAGACCGGCGCACGGGUGCGUAACGCGUAUGCAAUCUACCUUUUGCAGAGGGAUAGCCCAGAGAAAUUUGGAUUAAUACCUCAUAGUAUAGUACUUUGGCAUCAAGGAACUAUUAAAGUCACAACGGCAAAAGAUGAGCAUGCGUCCCAUUAGCUAGUUGGUAAGGUAACGGCUUACCAAGGCUACGAUGGGUAGGGGUUCUGAGAGGGAGAUCCCCCCANACUGGUACUGAGACACGGACCAGACUCCUACGGGAGGCAGCAGUGAGGAAUAUUGGACAAAUGGGCGAAAGCCUGAUCCAGCAAUGCCGCGUGCAGGAAGAAGGCCUCGGUUGUAACUAGCUUUGUUACGGAAC